rnacentral:snRNA from 1 species
GACCUUGAUCUUCUGAGAAGGGUU